UACGUAGGGUGCGAGCGUUGUCCGGCAUUACUGGGCGUAAAGAGCUCGUAGGUGGUUUGUCGCGUUGUCCGUGAAAACUCACAACUCAAUUGUGGGCGUGCGGGCGAUACGGGCAGACUGGAGUACUGCAGGGGAGACUGGAAUUCCUGGUGUAGCGGUGGAAUGCGCAGAUAUCAGGAGGAACACCGGUGGCGAAGGCGGGUCUCUGGGCAGUAACUGACGCUGAGGCACGAAAGCGUGGGGAGCAAACAGG
rnacentral:rRNA from 1 species